rnacentral:rRNA from 1 species
GACGAACGCUGGCGGCGUGCCUAACACAUGCAAGUCGUGCGAGAAAGUUCCUUCGGGAGCGAGUAAAGCGGCGCACGGGUGAGUAACACGUAGGUAACCUGCCCCCCAGUCUGGAACAACUAGAGGAAACUCUAGCUAAUGCCGGAUGAGACCACGAUCCCUUCGGGGGUUGCGGCCAAAGAUGGCCUCUACUUGUAAGCUAUCGCUGAGGGAUGGGGCCUGCGGGCCAUUAGCUUGUUGGUGAGGUAACGGCUCACCAAGGCUGUGAUGGCUAGCUGGUCUGAGAGGAUGACCAGCCACACUGGGACUGAGACACGGCCCAGACUCCUACGGGAGGCAGCAGUGGGGAAUAUUGCGCAAUGGGCGAAAGCCUGACGCAGCGACGCCGCGUGGGUGA